ACGAACGCUGGCGGCGUGCCUAAUACAUGCAAGUCGAGCGGAAUGAUGAAGAAGCUUGCUUCUUCUGAUUUUAGCGGCGGACGGGUGAGUAACACGUGGGCAACCUACCUUGUAGAUUGGGAUAACUCCGGGAAACCGGGGCUAAUACCGAAUAAUCCAUUUUGCUUCAUGGCGAGAUGUUAAAAGGCGGCUUCGGCUGUCACUACGAGAUGGGCCCGCGGCGCAUUAGCUGGUUGGUAGGGUAAUGGCCUACCAAGGCGACGAUGCGUAGCCGACCUGAGAGGGUGAUCGGCCACACUGGGACUGAGACACGGCCCAGACUCCUACGGGAGGCAGCAGUAGGGAAUCUUCCACAAUGGACGAAAGUCUGAUGGAGCAACGCCGCGUGAGUGAAGAAGGUUUUCGGAUCGUAAAACUCUGUUGUUAGGGAAGAAUACGUACGAGAGUAACUGCUCGUACCUUGACGGUACCUAACCAGAAAGCCACGGCUAACUACGUG
rnacentral:rRNA from 1 species